CUAAACAAAAGGGACUGAAACUUGAUGAUUUUGCUUGCCAAGUCCAACCGCUAAACCUUCUGAGAUUUUCUUUGCUAAAACAAAUGGAUUGCUUGAAGCAAUACCUGUAGCUGAGUCACCGAAUCCUCAAGAAGUAACCUUGGGGUCCCUGGCCUACAGCCACCUGAACAGGUUGUCAGAGCAAACAAGUGUCCCUGCACCUCAGAAGUCUGAGGGUGAUCGUCUUAUGGAAACCAUAGUGACGGAAACAGUGUUUGCCUGUGAA